rnacentral:rRNA from 1 species
AUACGGAGGAUCCAAGCGUUAUCCGGAUUUAUUGGGUUUAAAGGGUGCGUAGGCGGACUGGUAAGUCAGCUGUGAAAGUUUGCGGCUUAACCGCAAAAUUGCAGUUGAUACUGUCAGUCUUGAGUGUGCAUGAGGUGGGCGGAAUUUGUGGUGUAGCGGUGAAAUGCUUAGAUAUCACGAGGAACUCCAAUUGCGAAGGCAGCUCACUGGGCAUAACUGACGCUGAUGCACGAAGGUGUGGGUAUCAAACAGGAUUAGAUACCCUGGUAGUCCACACAGUAAACUAUGAAUACUCGCUGUUUGCGAUAUACAGUAAGCGGCCAAGCGAAAGCAUUAAGUAUUCCACCUGGGGAGUACGCCGGCAACGGUGAAACUCAAAGGAAUUGACGGGG